AUCAUUUGUGGAUGUUUCUGUGCAGCUUGUAGAGAAAAACUUAUAGACAGGUGCAAACACAUUCUUUUAUAACCCAGAAUCCAUUGCUCAAUAUGAGUUCUGAUAUAGACAAGAAGGAAUU